UCUCCGUUGGUGAACCAGCGGAGGGAUCAUUACCGAAGUUACCUUCAAAACCCACUGUGAACCUUACCUCUUGCCGCGUUGUCUCGGCGGGAGGCGGUGUGCGUCGCGCGCCCUAGCGGGCCGUGCCGCUCCCGUCCCCGCCGGCAGCGCCAAACUCUAAAUGCACAGCGGACUGUACGUUCUGAUUUACAGAAAAAACAAGUUAAAACUUUCAACAACGGAUCUCAUGGUUCUG
rnacentral:misc_RNA from 1 species